rnacentral:lncRNA from 1 species
GAGAGAGAGAGAGAGAGAGAGAGAGAGAGAGAGAAUAGGAAGAUGAGAGAGAAGGGUUAGAUGCAGAGAGAGGAAGAGAGGGUUUCGAACAAGGUCCUUAGGGUUUCGAACGGGGGAAAUUUAGGCGGGGAGCUUUUUUGGGAUCGGGUGGUAUGAUCCCGCGAGAUCAAAAUGUCCGCUUAUUUCCUCGGGCAAACGAUCUAUCCACGGCAUUUUAGAAUCG